rnacentral:rRNA from 1 species
UGUAUAGCAAUUGCUAUUUGCACUAAUGUAUUUUUAGUGUAAAAUCGACUUUGUCGAAUAAAAUUCUGGGUAGGUUUAUGAUAAUGACAUUAUCUAUCCAUAAGUCUUGACCAAAUUACGUGCCAGCAGUCGCGGUAAUACGUAGAAGACAAGUGUUAUUCAUCUUUAAUAGGUUUAAAGGGUACCUAGACGGUAAAUAAAGCCUCAAAAAGGUACUAGUUUGCUAGAGUUUUAUGUGAAGGAGUUUUAAAGUACUACUGGUGGAGAGAUGAAAUUCAGUUAUACCUUACAUGGCACAGGUUAAGGCGAAAGCAUCUUCUUAUGUAAAAACUGACGUUGAAGGACGAAGGCUUUGUGUCUCGAACAGGAUUAGAUACCCUAGUAGUCUAAGCAGAAAAUGAUGAAUGUCAUAAAUUAGAUUUAGUUUGAUCUGUAAAUGAAAGUGUAAGCAUUCCACCUCAAGAGUAAUUUGGCAACAUUGGAACUGAAAUCAUUAGACCGUUUCUGAAACCAGUAGUGAAGUAUGUUGUUUAAUUUGAUAAUCCGCAAAAAACCUUACCACAAUUUGAAUAGAUAUUUUUAUCAUACAAGCGUUGCACGGCUGUCUUCAGUUAAUGUCGUGAGACUUUGGUUAGUUCCAUUAAAUUAACGUAAACCCUUAUUUUAUUUUUAUAUAAAAUAGUUCACCGCUAGAUUGGAUGUGAUAAUAGGGAUCAAGACAAGUCAUCAUGACCUAAA